rnacentral:sRNA from 1 species
CAUCAGCGAUCCCACCAGUUGCCCAAUGCCUGGGCACGGCCCCAAAGCCAUCGCCUCCGGUUCCCCCGACGU